UAGUCAUAUGCUUGUCUAAAGAUCAUAGCAUGCAUGUCUAAGUAUAAGCUUUUAUACGGUGAAACUGCGAAUGGCUCCAAUUAAAACAGUUAUAGUUUAUUUGAUGGUCAUUUACUACAUGGAUAACCGUGGUAAUUCUAUGGCUAAUACAUGCGCAAAAGCCACUUUCUCUGGAAGGGCUGUGUUUAUUAGAUACAAAACCAACCCCAUCUUCGGGUGGGAAAACUGGUGAUUCAUAGUAACCGAACGAAUCGCGCUAACGGCUUCGGCCAGCGAUAGAUCAUUCAAGUUUCUGACCUAUCAGCUUUCGACGGUAGGGUAUUGGCCUACCGUGGCAGUGACGGGUAACGGGGAAUUAGGGUUCGAUUACCGGAGAGGGAGCCUGAGAAACGGCUACCACAUCUAAGGAAGGCAGCAGGCGCGCAAAUUACCCAAUCCUGACACAGGGAGGUAUGUGACAAGAAAUAACAAUACAGGGCAUUUAAUGCUUUGUAAUUGGAAUGAUCGGAAUAUAAACCCCUUAAAGAGUAACAAUUGGAGGGCAAGUCUGGUGCCAGCAGCCGCGGUAAUUCCAGCUCCAAUAGCGUAUAUUAAAGUUGUUGCAGUUAAAAAGCUCGUAGUUGGUCAUUUCUGUUGGGAGCCGCCGGUCCGCCUUUCGGGGUGUGUACUUGGUAAAUCUCAGCAUCCUCCUGGUAUUCGGCAUUGUCACCACUUCACUGUGGUUGGGGAUGUAUUUCCAGGACUUUUACUUUGAGAUGAAAUUAAGUUUGUUUCAAGCAGGCUUGUUGCCUUGAGAUACUGCAGCAUGGAAUAAUAAGAUAGGAUUUCGGUUCUAUUUUGUUGGUUAUCUAGGACUGAAGUAAUGAUUAAACUAGGGACAGUUUGUGGGGCAUUCGUAGUUUAACUGUACAGAGGUGAAACUUCUAGAUUAGACUUUGUUUAACCUUUAAGACGACACAUAACGCGAAGGGGCAACGCUAUUGAGAACGAAAGUAGGGGGUGAAGACGAUAGAUACCGUCGUAUCUACCAUAAACUAUGCCGACUAGAGAUAGGAAAUCUUUUGACUUCUCCUGCACCUAUGAGAAAUCAAAGUCUUGGGUUCUGGGGGGAGUAUGGUCGC
rnacentral:rRNA from 1 species